rnacentral:rRNA from 1 species
CCUACGGGUGGCAGCAGUGAGGAAUAUUGGUCAAUGGUCGUGAGACUGAACCAGCCAAGUAGCGUGAAGGAUGACUGCCCUAUGGGUUGUAAACUUCUUUUAUAAGGGAAUAAAACGCGUCACGUGUGCCUUUUUGCAUGUACCUUAUGAAUAAGGAUCGGCUAACUCCGUGCCAGCAGCCGCGGUAAUACGGAGGAUCCGAGCGUUAUCCGGAUUUAUUGGGUUUAAAGGGAGCGUAGAUGGGUUGUUAAGUCAGUCGUGGAAUUCUGCGGCUCAACCGUAAAAUUGCAAUUGAUACUGGCAGUCUUGAGUACAGUUGAGGUAAGCGGAAUUCGUGGUGUAGCGGUGAAAUGCUUAGAUAUCACGAAGAACCCCGAUUGCGAAGGCAGCAUACUAAACUGUGACUGACACUGAUGCUCGAAAGUGUGGGUAUCAAACAGGAUUAGAUACCCCGGUAGUC